AUUAAACGCUGGCGGCAGGCCUAACACAUGCAAGUCGGGCGGCAGCGGGAAAGUAGCUUGCUACUUUUGCCGGCGAGCGGCGGACGGGUGAGUAAUGCCUGGGAAAUUGCCCAGUCGAGGGGGAUAACAGUUGGAAACGACUGCUAAUACCGCAUACGCCCUACGGGGGAAAGCAGGGGACCUUCGGGCCUUGCGCGAUUGGAUAUGCCCAGGUGGGAUUAGCUAGUUGGUGAGGUAAUGGCUCACCAAGGCGACGAUCCCUAGCUGGUCUGAGAGGAUGAUCAGCCACACUGGAACUGAGACACGGUCCAGACUCCUACGGGAGGCAGCAGUGGGGAAUAUUGCACAAUGGGGGAAACCCUGAUGCAGCCAUGCCGCGUGUGUGAAGAAGGCCUUCGGGUUGUAAAGCACUUUCAGCGAGGAGGAAAGGUUGAUGCCUAAUACGUAUCAACUGUGACGUUACUCGCAGAAGAAGCACCGGCUAACUCCGUGCCAGCCGCCGCCGUAAAAC
rnacentral:rRNA from 1 species